ACCUACGGGGGGCAGCAGUAGGGAAUCUUCCACAAUGGGCGAAAGCCUGAUGGAGCAACGCCGCGUGGGUGAAGAAGGUCUUCGGAUCGUAAAACCCUGUUGUUAGAGAAGAAAGUGCGUGAGAGUAACUGUUCACAUUUCGACGGUAUCUAACCAGAAAGCCACGGCUAACUACGUGCCAGCAGCCGCGGUAAUAUGUAGGUGGCAAGCGUUAUCCGGAUUUAUUGGGCGUAAAGGGAACGCAGGCGGUCUUUUAAGUCUGAUGUGAAAGCAUUCGGCUUAACCGGAGUAGUGCAUUGGAAACU
rnacentral:rRNA from 1 species